rnacentral:rRNA from 1 species
GACGAACGCUGGGGGCGUGCCUAAUACAUGCAAGUCGAACGCAGUGGGGACGGGUGAGUAACACGUUGGUAACCUCCCAUCAGAGGGGAUAACACUUGGAAACAGGUGCUAAACCGAUACUGAUGGAUGGACCCGCGGUGCAUUACCUAGUUGGUGAGGUAAAGGCUCACCAAGGCCACGAUGCAUAGCCGUCCUGAGAGGUGGAUCGGCCACACUGGGACUGAGACACGGUCCAGACUCCUACGGGAGGCAGCAGUGGGGAAUCGUCGGCAAUUGGCGAAAUUCUGACCCAGCCACGCCGCGUGAGUGAAGAAGGUUUUCGGAUUGUAAAACUCUGUGGGUAGAGAAGCGGUAUCUAUACAAGAAGCCACGGCUAACUACGUGCCAGCAGCCGCGGUAAUAC